rnacentral:rRNA from 1 species
CCUACGGGUGGCAGCAGUGAGGAAUAUUGGUCAAUGGACGAGAGUCUGAACCAGCCAAGUAGCGUGAAGGAUGACUGCCCUAUGGGUUGUAAACUUCUUUUAUAUGGGAAUAAAAUGUUCCACGUGUGACUCAUUGAGAGUACCCGAAGAAAAAGCAUCGGCUAACUCCGUGCCAGCAGCCGCGGUAAUACGGAGGAUGCGAGCGUUAUCCGGAUUUAUUGGGUUUAAAGGGUGCGCAGGCGGAGGUGCAAGUCAGCGGUCAAAUUGCGGGGCUCAACCCCGUACUGCCGUUGAAACUGCAUCCCUUGAGUGCGCGAGAAGUAUGCGGAAUGCGUGGUGUAGCGGUGAAAUGCAUAGAUAUCACGCAGAACUCCGAUUGCGAAGGCAGCAUACCGGCGCGCAACUGACGCUCAUGCACGAAAGCGUGGGUAUCGAACAGGAUUAGAUACCCUAGUAGUC